rfam:Cellulosimicrobium funkei strain T11 contig00032, whole genome shotgun sequence.
UCGACGCGUCGCGACUGGCGCCGCCCGGUGGAUCUCCGCCCGGGCAGGGUGGAUCACCACCGGGGAGCGACACGCUGUGCAGACGACGGGUCGUUCGCCUGGGCCCCGGGU